rnacentral:rRNA from 1 species
CUCGUAGGCGGUUUGUUACGUCCGCUGUGAAAUCCCAGGGCUUAACCCUGGGCUUGCAGUGGAUACGGGCAGACUAGAGGUAGGUAGGGGAGAAUGGAAUUCCCGGUGUAGCGGUGAAAUGCGCAGAUAUCGGGAGGAACACCGGUGGCGAAGGCGGUUCUCUGGGCCUUACCUGACGCUGAGGAGCGAAAGCGUGGGGAGCGAACA